GCCUUCGUAGUGUAGUGGUCAGCACGCUCGAUGCGUAACCGAGAGGUCCAUGGUUCGAUUCCCGGCGAAGGGG
rnacentral:tRNA from 1 species